UCAGGGAGUAUGAGAUAUGGAAAAAUGC
rnacentral:piRNA from 1 species